rnacentral:rRNA from 1 species
UACGUAGGGGGCAAGCGUUGUCCGGAAUUAUUGGGCGUAAAGAGCUCGUAGGCGGUCUGUCGCGUCGGCUGUGAAAACCCGGGGCUCAACUCCGGGCCUGCAGUCGAUACGGGCAGACUAGAGUUCGGUAGGGGAGACUGGAAUUCCUGGUGUAGCGGUGAAAUGCGCAGAUAUCAGGAGGAACACCGGUGGCGAAGGCGGGUCUCUGGGCCGAAACUGACGCUGAGGAGCGAAAGCGUGGGGAGCGAACAGG